rnacentral:lncRNA from 1 species
AUGUGCCAUUUUUUUUUUCUUACGCAGAUCACGGCCCAUGGUGCUCGGACCCAGUCUGAUCACCACCUGGAUGUAGCCCUCUGGGUAUGGACACCAUGGUUCCUGCCACCUGUUGGCAAGCGGGCUUCCAGUGCCCCAGCUCUCUGCACACUGGCCCACCAGCCUUGGCCCAUCUGCACCUGCAGGAUGCUUCCUGUUUCCAUGGCUGCUGUGAACCAGCUGAGCUUCGCACAAUCCAGCAAAAUUCUUCACUAUCCUGCAAGUACUGUCUCCAGCGAGGUGUGAGUCCUGGCCGUGAGGAAGAAGCCCUCCUUCCAGGGGUGUCCAUUCUUGGCUACUCGCCUUCAGCCUCGGGAUUUUCUUGCGUUCUCUUUUCAUCUUCACAGUUCCUCCCCUGUUGCAGUUAAUACUUCUUUAUAUGAAAUUUUCCUGUUCAGGUGCCUGGCUGGUUUGUGCCUUCCAAUUGGACCAGAGCCCAUAGUUCCAGAUGUCUGUACCAUGAUUAAAAGUCCUUCUCCCACUGAGACACUUAAAACCCGCUUACUUGAUGUCUGCGGUGCUUUGGAAACGGAGCAGGCCCCUGUGCUCACCCCACCCCCGCCACAUCCUCCACCUGCCUUUUGUCUGCAGAAAAACUUCAAAGAAUAAGUUUAAUCAGAAAAGUGAGAAAAUGCAGGCGCAAAGGAAAGCAGUCCAAAGAGACCAAGUCACAACAUUUAGUCACGAAGCAAAGGCAAGGACUUUAGUUCCUCUCAGGGGCUGUGGGUCACCUUCUGAGCCGUGUCCUGAGAGCUGCCUUGUCGACACUGAAACCCCACCCGCUGGAAGACGUUAGCGGCAUGACGACCAGACUGGGGCCAUGACAUUGCUGCCACAGUUCCCACAAGUGGCCUCAAAGAAGCGGGAACAAACCGACCCUGGAACUGAAGACAAACUGUGCUUGACACAGUCAAGAGGCUGCUGCUCAGAUCACCCGACCAACUGCGAGGUGACGGCGGAGCGGACGGCGCUGUUUCCGCACGCAGCCCCCGCCCUCCGCCGUAAAACCUCUUGCCCCCCCGAUUGUCAGUCUUUGGACAGGAGGCCCCCUCCGUGCUGCCGGCCUCCGAAAUAAAGCAACCUCACCUCUUUAUUGUCUUCAGAGCCGCGAGCGGCUGGGCCCCACUUUCAGUCAAGCUGCCACCUGCCGCCGUAACCACCGCAGCCCUAGGAGGGGUUUCACAUCUGUUGGUCUUAGUUCCCGCUUCCUCCUGUUGCUCUCUUUGGGAUUUUUUUUUUUUUUUCCUUUUCUAGGGCCACUCUUGCAGCAUAUGGAGGUUCCCAGGCUAGGGGUCAAAUCGGAGCUGGAGCCACCGGCCUACACCAGAGCCACAGCAACAUGGGAUCCGAGCCGCAUCUGUGACCUGCACCACAGCUCACGGCAACGCCAGAUCUUUCACCCACUGAGCAAGGCCAGGGAUCGAACCCACAACCUCAUGGUUCCUAGUUGGACUUGUUAACUACUGAGCCACGAUGGGAACUCCUGGGAUUUUUUUUUUUUUGUUAUUCCUCCUGGAUGUUUGCUUUUCCUUGUGAACUUUAGAAUCCACUCAUCUCUCCCUAAAAAGCCAUUUUCAUGAUUUUUAUUUGAUUGUGAUCACUCUGGGGCUUGAGUCAGGAGAUGGCUCCUGUAGGUUGACUUUUCUUUUCUACAAAGGCUGUGACGGGCCUUUCCAGCCAGCUCAGGCUUCUUUUGUGGCACUUCGUGGUCUCGUGUCCCAUAAGGGUGUCCCUAGGGGUUUAAUGUCUUGUCAUGGCCAUGCAAAUCGGACUUCUCUGUCAUCGUACCUCCUCUCCAUGUGUCCUUAAACAGAAGCCACUGACACCUGGACGUACCCUUGAGCUGAGCCACGUUGCUGAAGUCUCUUCUCGUGGCACCAGGAUGUCAGCGGCCUUGCUGGGGAUCCAAGGUUGGGCUCUGUGUGCAGGUGGAGGGGGGCGCCUCUGUCCCCACCCCAACCUCCAUGGCUCCUUGGACCGAGCCGGGGGCCUGAUGGAGUCGGGGGAGCAGUUAGGGCUGUUUGUGGGCCUUUGUGAGCCCCCGAGACCAGGCGACAAAGCGCUUCAGAGCGGAGAAGACCCCCCAGCCUGGCUCCAUGUGAGGAGGUUCCAGGGGCACUGGCGCUGACCCUGGGCAGGUGCCUGGCCUUCCUUUGGACAGCAGGUUGGCAAAGCCACCAGACGCUCUCGGGCAUAAGGGCUGGGGAGGGCUGUUGCCCACAGACCCCUUCCUGGGCCCUGUGCUCCCUGGGGGCUCUGGGGAACGCCUGUGGUAGGAGCUCAGGGGUCAGCACAAGUGUCUCUGGGCCUCGAUGGUGCCCACAGCCAGGGCAGCAGGAGGUUUGGGUGAUCCCGGUUCUUGCCUUUACUCCUCGCAAAACCCGCCCUCAGGGAGUCAGAUUUUUAUGAAUGUUUGAAAGUAAAUACAGAAAAAGU